rnacentral:misc_RNA from 1 species
AUCUUAGCAUCCCUCAAGCAUUUCUCAACUGGCUCCAUGCACUUGCGGAACAGGUCCAUGUUCAGCUCCUCGAAUCUGGCCCUCGUGAUGGUGGAGUAGAAAUCAAUUCCCUCGUAGAGGGAAUCAAUCUCAAUUGUGGUCUGGGCAGUGGAGGAGAGGGUCCUCUUCGCCCUCUCACAGGCGGUGCGGAGACGCCGCAGAGCACGAGGGUUGCCGCUGAUGUCCUUCUUGUGUUUACGCUUGAACUCCUGCACGAAGUGGUUAACCAUCCUGUUGUCGAAGUCCUCACCGCCGAGAUGUGUGUCACCAGCAGUGGCCUUCACCUCAAAGAUGCCUUCCUCAAUGGUGAGGAGGGAGACAUCGAAGGUGCCACCACCGAGGUCAAAGAUGAGGACAUUCUUCUCACCGGAGCUGGUGGCCUUCUUGUCGAGGCCGUAGGCGAUGGCAGCAGCAGUGGGCUCGUUGAUGAUGCGGAGGACGUUGAGGCCAGCAAUGGCACCGGCAUCCUUGGUGGCCUGGCGCUGGGAGUCGUUGAAGUAGGCAGGGACGGUGACAACAGCAUUAUUGAUGCUGCGGCCAAGAUAGGCUUCAGCUAUCUCCCGCAUCUUGAUGAGGAUCAUAGAGGAGAUCUCUUCAGCAGAAAACUGCUUCUCCUCGCCCUUGUAGUGGACGACGAUCAUUGGCUUGUCACCCGGGCCGGGAAUGACCUUGAAGGGCCACAGCUUCAUGUCGGCCUGAACAGAGGGGUCGCUGAAGCGACGGCCAAUCAGCCGCUUGGCAUCGAAGACGGUGUUAGUGGGGUUCAUGGCGACCUGGUUCUUCGCGGCAUCGCCGAUGAGCCUCUCUGUGUCGGUGAAGGCGACAUAGGAGGGGGUGGUGCGGUUGCCCUGAUCAUUCGCGAUAAUUUCCACCCGAUCGUGCUGCCACACGCCGACGCAGGAGUAGGUGGUGCCGAGGUCGAUCCCGAUCGCCGGACCCUCGCCCUUGCCCGCCAUGGAUCUAAGCUGAGCUGCCUGUGCUGGUUGCAGAGAAAGCUUUUUGUGAGCUAGAGAUUGCUU